rnacentral:rRNA from 1 species
GACACUGAACAUUGAGCCUUGAUGUGUAGGAUAGGUGGGAGGCUUUGAAGCGUGGACGCCAGUCUGCGUGGAGCCAACCUUGAAAUACCACCCUUUAAUGUUUGAUGUUCUAACGUUGGCCCCUGACCGGGGUUGCGGACAGUGUCUGGUGGGUAGUUUGACUGGGGCGGUCUCCUCCCAAAGCGUAACGGAGGAGCACGAAGGUUAGCUAAUCCUGGUCGGACAUCAGGAGGUUAGUGCAAUGGCAUAAGCUAGCUUGACUGCGAGCGUGACGGCGCGAGCAGGUGCGAAAGCAGGUCAUAGUGAUCCGGUGGUUCUGAAUGGAAGGGCCAUCGCUCAACGGAUAAAAGG